rnacentral:piRNA from 1 species
UCCACCUAUAGGAUUGCAGUU